UAAGUAGGACAAACGAUCGCGGCCGCAAGUUUGCGGGUGAGGAAAGUCCGGGCUUCACAGGGCAGGAUGCCGGAUAACGUCCGGUGGAGGCGACUCCAAGGCUAGUGCAACAGAAAUAUACCGCCGGGAAAACUCCCGGUAAGGGUGGAAAGGUAGCUUAAGAGACUACCGUCCGACCGGUAACGGCCGGAGCCAUGUAAACCCCAUCCGAAGCAAGAUCAAAAAGAAGACCAUAGGCUUGCCCGGCCUGUCUUCAGGUGGAUCGCUGGAUGUGACUGGUAACAGUCAUACUGGAUAGAUGAUCGUUCACGACAGAACCCGGCUUAUCGUCCUGCUUAUAUU
rnacentral:RNase_P_RNA from 1 species